rnacentral:rRNA from 1 species
UACAGAGGGGGCAAGCGUUGUUCGGAAUUACUGGGCGUAAAGGGCGCGUAGGCGGCCCGCUAAGUCGAACGUGAAAUCCCCAGGCUUAACCUGGGAACUGCGUCCGAUACUGGCAGGCUUGAAUCCGGGAGAGGGAUGUGGAAUUCCAGGUGUAGCGGUGAAAUGCGUAGAUAUCUGGAGGAACACCGGUGGCGAAGGCGACAUCCUGGACCGGUAUUGACGCUGAGGCGCGAAAGCCAGGGGAGCAAAGCGGG